GGGGUCGUAGCUCAGCUGGUCAGAGCGCCACGUUGACAUCGUGGAGGUCGUAGGUUCGAGCCCUAUCGACCCCACCA
rnacentral:tRNA from 2 species